GGGCGAUCCCCCGUCUAAGAGUGAGGAGGAGGAGGACAUUCCAGGAGAUGUCACCACAGAGAGUACCAGUAAAAAUAUUAAGAGCAAAGCUAUAUUAUCACUAAAUUAUAAAGAAGAAGAUAAAGAUCUCCUGCAGCGCUCCUCAGGAGAAAACCUUAUUACACUUAAUGUACACCCAGGACUUCACAGUACAGAUCUAUUAUAUAAUCCCCCUCAUCAUGAGGAA